rnacentral:rRNA from 1 species
GAUCAUGGCUCAGGAUGAACGCUAGCUACAGGCUUAACACAUGCAAGUCGAGGGGCAUCAGUUUGGUUUGCUUGCAAACCAAAGCUGGCGACCGGCGCACGGUGAGUAACACGUAUCCAACCUGCCUCAUACGUCGGGGAUAGCCUUUCGAAAGAAAGAUUAAUAUCCGAUAGCAUAUAUUUCCCGCAUUGGGUUUUUAUAUUAAAGAAAUUCGGUAUGAGAUGGGGAUGCGUUCCAUUUAG